AGCGAACGCUGGCGGCAGGCCUAACACAUGCAAGUCGAACGAACCCUUCGGGGUUAGUGGCGGACGGGUGAGUAACACGUGGGAACGUGCCUUUAGGUUCGGAAUAACUCAGGGAAACUUGUGCUAAUACCGAAUGUGCCCUUCGGGGGAAAGAUUUAUCGCCUUUAGAGCGGCCCGCGUCUGAUUAGCUAGUUGGUGAGGUAAUGGCGAACCAAGGCUACGAUCAGUAGCUGGUCUGAGAGGAUGACCAGCCACAUUGGGACUGAGACACGGCCCAAACUCCUACGGGAGGCAGCAGUGGGGAAUCUUGCGCAAUGGGCGAAAGCCUGACGCAGCCAUGCCGCGUGGAUGAUGAAGGUCUUAGGAUUGUAAAAUCCUUUCACCGGUGAAGAUAAUGACUGUAGCCGGAGAAGAAGCCCCGGCUAACUUCGUGCCAGCAGCCGCCGUAAAAC
rnacentral:rRNA from 1 species